rnacentral:rRNA from 1 species
CCCGAUGCAGCGGCGGACGGGUGAGUAAUACAUGGGAAUCUGCCUGGUAGUGGGGGACAACAGUUGGAAACGACUGCUAAUACCGCAUACGCCCUACGGGGGAAAGGGGGGGAUCUUCGGACCUCUCGCUAUCAGAUGAGCCCAUGUCAGAUUAGCUUGUUGGUGGGGUAAAGGCUCACCAAGGCGACGAUCUGUAACUGGUCUGAGAGGAUGAUCAGUCACACUGGAACUGAGACACGGUCCAGACUCC